CUGGAGGAUGAUGAGUUGCACCAGAGGGUCUGCAGUGCUGUGUGUUCUGUGGUAUCCUACAGAGUCAUUGUGGUGACACAACCAUGUGCACAGGGGCCAGCUGACUCCAU